GACGAACGCUGGCGGCGUGCUUAACACAUGCAAGUCGAACGGAAAGGCCCUGCUUUUGUGGGGUGCUCGAGUGGCGAACGGAUGAGUAACACGUGAGUAACCUGCCCUUGACUUUGGGAUAACUUCAGGAAACUGGGGCUAAUACCGGAUAGGAGCUCCUGCUGCAUGGUGGGGGUUGGAAAGUUUCGGCGGUUGGGGAUGGACUCGCGGCUUAUCAGCUUGUUGGUGGGGUAGUGGCUUACCAAGGCUUUGACGGGUAGCCGGCCUGAGAGGGUGACCGGCCACACUGGGACUGAGAUACGGCCCAGACUCCUACGGGAGGCAGCAGUGGGGAAUAUUGCGCAAUGGGCGGAAGCCUGAUGCAGCAACGCCGCGUGCGGGAUGACGGCCUUCGGGUUGUAAACCGCUUUCGCCUGUGACGAAGCGUGAGUGACGGUAAUGGGUAAAGAAGCACCGGCUAACUACGUG
rnacentral:rRNA from 1 species